AUACGUAGGGGGCGAGCGUUGUCCGGAAUGAUUGGGCGUAAAGGGCGCGUAGGCGGCCUGUUAAGUCUGGAGUGAAAGUCCUGUUUUCAAGAUGGGAAUUGCUUUGGAUACUGAUGGGCUUGAGUGCAGGAGAGGUUAUCGGAAUUCCCGGUGUAGCGGUGAAAUGCGUAGAGAUCGGGAGGAACACCAGUGGCGAAGGCGGGUAACUGGACUGCAACUGACGCUGAGGCGCGAAAGUGUGGGGAGCAAACAGGAUUAGAUACCCUGGUAGUCCACGCAGUAAACGAUGAUAACUAACCGCUGGGUCGUAGUGAUUCAGUGGCCAAGCGAAAGCGAUAAGUUAUCCACCUGGGGAGUACGACCGCAAGGUUGAAACUCAAAUGAAUUGGCGGGG
rnacentral:rRNA from 1 species